UUCACCUUUGUUCCCCAUCCUUGGGUCUGGAGAUAAAGGCGGGAAGACAGUACUCCAUGAAAGCAACAAUCACAAACCUCAGGUAUGCUCACCCUCAGGUGCCUCAGACUUCAAAGAAAUGGCAAACUAGGCAUCUCAUUUUAUACAUGGCCCUCUUUAAGUACACUUGUAUGUACAUAAAAUGAAAUUGUACUGAAAUAAAUCUUAUUGCUGAACGUUUGCUUUUCGGAAGACACUUUGGUGUAAAAGUUCCUAAGAAAAUUUGUUUUUUUAAAGGACCAAAAGUGGGGUGAGUGUUUCAUGGGUAAAGACCUUUUUCGUAACGAGUGAAGGUGAAAUGAGCAGACUGUGCAACUCAGAUUCCAGCUGCGUCCCCGUCACUACCCUCGGGAGUGUGCCGGAAGGACCCCAGAGAGCUGGCCCACUGCGAUGAGCUUACAGCCUUGGGGCCCCAAACUGGAAGGAUGGUCAGCAUUCCUGGUGCUCUGGGUUCAGCAAGACCUGACUGAGGGACUCUCUUUUCUGGUUGUUGGCUGAGUAUGUAAUGUCCACUCUGGGUCAUCUAAGGGCCGAGACCAAGUACUCUGUUCCUGCUGUGACCCGUGCUUCUGCUACCACGUGCUGCACAAGGUAGGUACCUCAGAGUCCUAGCUGAAUAGCUCAUAGAGAGACAGGUCUCAGCCUUGCUUCUCCACCUGCAUCUUACAGAGGUGGAAAGUAGGAACUGCAGCCCAGCAAGCCACGGACCCAGGCAAUGCUAAAACUGCAAAGUCACCUGUGUUGAUUCCAGCCAGCUUUUAGUAAGUAAAUCCGUGACUCUUGUAAGAAGAGAUUUCAGAAGAUGUGUACCUUCUACAGAAUUCACAUUUAGUGAGGGGCGUGUGAAAAGGUAUACACAAUUUUAAUCUUUUUAUUUUACUAAUAGCGUAUCUUAAUGAUUGAAAAAUAGAAAUUCCUGUAAAUAAAAAGAAAACCAGAAAGUACUCAUACUUUACACACCUAGUGUUCACGAUCUAAUGGGCCUGCUUCCCCUUCCCCUCUCUCUUCUAUCUGAGCCUCCACGAUGGACGGGACUCACCUGGUACAAGUGACGCGGGGUCGAGCUGGACUGUUGGUUUUCUGCUCCGCCUCUGCUUCCUCUCCGCAUCCUGGACUCUAAAGAAGAUGAAUGAAAUGUCUGCUCUGGUUGCUGGCUGUUUCAUCUCCAACUUAACCUCAGUCUGUGGUUGUGGAGGGCCUCAGAAGUCAGGAAGGUCCCCUGCCGCCAACAUGGGGAGGGUGGGGCCGGACCCAGGUUCCAGCCCAGCCCUGACACGCAGUGCGCUCAGUGGGACAUGUUGGCAUGCAUGCAAGGCUGUAGCGCUGCCAGCCCCCAUAUGCUGCCUUCUUGAGGGCUGGCGGUGCCCUUCAGGACUGGCUGCAUCGUUCGUCCCAUUUGAGUGGGCAGUAGUAGAUAAUAAAAUCUCAGAAUAUCCCUUGACCCGUGACCAUCCAGGCAGGCAUCUGUGGUCCUCCAGCUCAGGCCUGCCUGGGCCCUGUCAAGCCCCUGUGGCCAAUCACUGAGCUGACCUUGCUGCUGGGCAAUUGAACAGCUACCUGGGCAGCGUAGACGGCCCCUUGGGAAGUUUCAGUUCCCUACAUCCAUGUGAUUGAGAAAAGGGCCUCCUCCCUCAUAGUCUCUCAGCCUUCUGAGAGGAAAUAACCCUGCAGACAUUGAGUGUGGCCCUGGCCACAAGCAGCAUACAGCAGACCGUGGCCCUGCAAUCCUCUGGCCUUCGGGUUGUUGCAAACCUUUGACAUUCAUACUCAUUAAAAAUCAAAGGUAUGGGAGCAAGUGGCUUCCCAGCUGGUGUUCUCACUCUGAGGCCACGUGGUCUCCAGGAGCCACGUGUAUCCGGGCCCAGUCCCUGCGGCCCCCGGAAAGCCAGCCAACUGUGGAUUCCACGGUAUAGGAUCAUCCUCGAGACACUGCUCCGCUGAGUAACAGUUUCCUUACCACCUACCAUUUGGUUUCUGUUCUCUGUAAAGGAGAGAGCAGAGACUGGAAAAUGAGCAAAUGUGUUCUGUGGAGAUGGGUGAUUAAUAUAGUCAGAGGGCAGGUGUGACUCCUGGGCUCCCACCUCCCAGGGACAUGAAUGAAGUCUGUGUGCCUUUUGAGGUACACUGGCAAUCAGGGCCAGCCUCUGAUAUGAGGCCCCGAUGCCCAAAGCAAGAGUCUUGAGUUUACCACCAACAGCGAAGUUGCUAUUUUAGCUAGUGGAAGAGCUUCCUGCCAUCAAGGGAGGACAACAAGAGCCCUGGAUGGGUGACCACAGUCACUGACCUUAACUGAACCUCUUCUUUUCUGUUAAAAUGGACAUUGAGUGGGUGUCGCCUGCAGUUUCUGGAAGCCCUGGAUGCAGUGAGAGAGACUUUUCCUGUGAAUGGGGCCACCCAAAGGCAUUUAGCAGGACAAAGGAUUGGAGGGAGACCAGAUCACACUGCAAGAGAGUGAGCCACCAGAACUGCCAGGUCCAAAUCCACUCUUAAACCUGUCUCUUGCAGUUAUUAAUUUAUUUCUAUCGUUUAAAAAUAAUGUUUUAUUUUACUUUAGUAAGUGUGUCCAGUCCAUUGGAAUCAAAAAAGUCAUAGCUGAUACAUCAGAACGAAUAAUCCCUGAGACUCCCUUGGGUGCCCUACUGGAUGGGGCAUGGCUGGGCGAGAUGAAGACACUGAGUAGGGUCCGAACUUAGGGGAACUGCCAGACUGCUGUGUCUCUGUUCCUUCCCUGUCCCAGGAGAGCGAAAUCCCGGAACAAUGGAAGGACAAGCAAAAUGGGGAAGAGGUCUUUUGGUGGCUUAACUGUUCUGUUUGUAUUUUCCUUUGUUAUGUUCCGUUUUGUUAAUGUGUGUUUUUACUAGGAAGUUACCCAUUUUCUCUAGAUUUCUAGUGUGACACAAUAGGUUUCUCAUUCUAGUUUUCAACCGAAUUGUCACUUAUUAACUGACAUCCAUAUUUCAUUUGGGUUUCCUUCAUUCUAACUUUUUGUCUUCCAGGAUGCCAUCCAGUGUAUCACGUGACAUUUAGUCAUCAUGUCUGUUUAGACUCUUCUGGGCUUUCACAGUUUCUGAGACUGUCCUUGUUUCUAUGACCUUGACAUUGGAGGAAGCUACUUUGGGAACCAGCACUUAUGGAGACAGGAGUUAUCUCCACCUCCACAAUCCAUGGAUGGCUGAGUGUCCACAUCAAUUAUUUAGACUUCCACAUAGGAGAUUUCUAUUCAACCUUAUUGAUCAAAACAAACAAACAAACAAACAAACAAAACCCUAUGCAGUUACUUAUUUUUACCAGCAUGGACACCUGUGGACAGUUUUUGUUUGUUUGUUUUUCUUUGUUUUUUUAACUUUUUGUUAUAAUCCAGCAGUCCAGAUUUUGUUGCUAAGUUCAUUCCUACUUUGGCUAUUGAGAGCUCUUUCCAUUGGCUCCUGUUUUCCUUU